rnacentral:rRNA from 1 species
ACGGGAGACACACGGCGGGUGCUAACGUCCGUCGUGAAGAGGGAAACAACCCAGACCGCCAGCUAAGGUCCCAAAGUCAUGGUUAAGUGGGAAACGAUGUGGGAAGGCCCAGACAGCCAGGAUGUUGGCUUAGAAGCAGCCAUCAUUUAAAGAAAGCGUAAUAGCUCACUGGUCGAGUCGGCCUGCGCGGAAGAUGUAACGGGGCUAAACCAUGCACCGAAGCUGCGGCAGCGACACUCAGGUGUUGUUGGGUAGGGGAGCGUUCUGUAAGCCUGCGAAGGUGGCCUGUGAGGGUUGCUGGAGGUAUCAGAAGUGCGAAUGCUGACAUAAGUAACGAUAAAGCGGGUGAAAAGCCCGCUCGCCGGAAGACCAAGGGUUCCUGUCCAACGUUAAUCGGGGCAGGGUGAGUCGACCCCUAAGGCGAGGCCGAAAGGCGUAGUCGAUGGGAAACGGGUUAAUAUUCCCGUACUUGGUGUUACUGCGAAGGGGGGACGGAGAAGGCUAUGUUGGCCGGGCGACGGUUGUCCCGGUUUAAGCGUGUAGGUGUGUGUUCCAGGUAAAUCCGGUUCACUUUAACACUGAGGCGUGAUGACGAGGCACUACGGUGCUGAAGCAACAAAUGCCCUGCUUCCAGGAAAAGCCUCUAAGCAUCAGGUAACAUCAAAUCGUACCCCAAACCGACACAGGUGGUCAGGUAGAGAAUACCAAGGCGCUUGAGAGAACUCGGGUGAAGGAACUAGGCAAAAUGGUGCCGUAACUUCGGGAGAAGGCACGCUGACACGUAGGUGAAGUGAUUUACUCAUGGAGCUGAAGUCAGUCGAAGAUACCAGCUGGCUGCAACUGUUUAUUAAAAACACAGCACUGUGCAAACACGAAAGUGGACGUAUACGGUGUGACGCCUGCCCGGUGCCGGAAGGUUAAUUGAUGGGGUCAGCGCAAGCGAAGCUCCUGAUCGAAGCCCCGGUAAACGGCGGCCGUAACUAUAACGGUCCUAAGGUAGCGAAAUUCCUUGUCGGGUAAGUUCCGACCUGCACGAAUGGCGUAAUGAUGGCCAGGCUGUCUCCACCCGAGACUCAGUGAAAUUGAACUCGCUGUGAAGAUGCAGUGUACCCGCGGCAAGACGGAAAGACCCCGUGAACCUUUACUAUAGCUUGACACUGAACAUUGAGCCUUGAUGUGUAGGAUAGGUGGGAGGCUUUGAAGUGUGGACGCCAGUCUGCAUGGAGCCGGCCUUGAAAUACCACCCUUUAAUGUUUGAUGUUCUAACGUGGACCCGUGAUCCGGGUUGCGGACAGUGUCUGGUGGGUAGUUUGACUGGGGCGGUCUCCUCCUAAAGAGUAACGGAGGAGCACGAAGGUUGGCUAAUCCUGGUCGGACAUCAGGAGGUUAGUGCAAUGGCAUAAGCCAGCUUGACUGCGAGCGUGACGGCGCGAGCAGGUGCGAAAGCAGGUCAUAGUGAUCCGGUGGUUCUGAAUGGAAGGGCCAUCGCUCAACGGAUAAAAGGUACUCCGGGGAUAACAGGCUGAUACCGCCCAAGAGUUCAUAUCGACGGCGGUGUUUGGCACCUCGAUGUCGGCUCAUCACAUCCUGGGGCUGAAGUAGGUCCCAAGGGUAUGGCUGUUCGCCAUUUAAAGUGGUACGCGAGCUGGGUUUAGAACGUCGUGAGACAGUUCGGUCCCUAUCUGCCGUGGGCGCUGGAGAACUGAGGGGGGCUGCUCCUAGUACGAGAGGACCGGAGUGGACGCAUCACUGGUGUUCGGGUUGUCAUGCCAAUGGCACUGCCCGGUAGCUAAAUGCGGAAGAGAUAAGUGCUGAAAGCAUCUAAGCACGAAACUUGCCCCGAGAUGAGUUCUCCCUGAGACUUUAGGUCUCCUGAAGGAACGUUGAAGACGACGACGUUGAUAGGCCGGGUGUGUAAGCGCAGCGAUGCGUUGAGCUAACCGGUACUAAUGAACCGUGAGGCUUAACCUUACA